CGGGGUAACGGCCCGACCAAGUACUACGAUCAGUAGCUGAUGUGAGAGCAUGAUCAGCCACACGGGCACUGAGACACGGGCCCGACUCCUACGGGAGGCAGCAGUAAGGAAUAUUGGACAAUGGACGCAAGUCUGAUCCAGCCAUGCCGCGUGAAGGAUUUAAGGUCCUCUGGAUUGUAAACUUCUUUUAUAAAGGGGCGAAAAAAAGGUCUUUCUAGAUCGUCUGACGGUACCUUAUGAAUAAGCACCGGCUAACUCCGUGCCAGCAGCCGCGGUAAUACGGAGGGUGCAAGCGUUAUCCGGAUUCACUGGGUUUAAAGGGUGCGUAGGCGGGCAGGUAAGUCAGUGGUGAAAUCCUAGAGCUCAACUCUAGAACUGCCAUUGAUACUAUCUGUCUUGAAUAUUGUGGAGGUAAGCGGAAUAU
rnacentral:rRNA from 1 species